ACUUGAUCUCAUGUGUAUGAUU
rnacentral:snRNA from 1 species